GGUCAAGGCUUCCAAACUAGCUAACCGUGUGAGGUGCUUGCUAAGCGCCAACACUGUAAACAAUAGAAGAAACAGAGGAAGCUGUCGCAAGACGGUUUGCUUUUCUGCGCCGCACGGACACAGAAGGAUGAUUUCCUGUCUGGCCUUCAAGUCCGGACCUCAGCUUUGUGUUUUGUGACGACUGAACCGACGUAACAACAAAGACAAAUCAAUGGCGGAUAAAAAGAGACAAGCCUGGCGAUAAGUCACCCUACUUGGCACUAAGAGAACCUCCACACAAAGAUUUCCUGCUUCUGGGACGCCAACAACCAUACUCCCCUUCUGCCAACAUGCCACAGGUCUCCACCACCUCCAGUUUCAACCUCAUGGAGGAGUGGAACAAGACACGGGAGAGCUCCACACAACCAGAGCAGAUGACACUUAUGAGCCACUAACCAAAGUCGCACCAGGAUCGGACCUGCCGAGGUGGGAGCGGAUCACUCUCAACUGUUCGGAGCAAACAUCUCCCAGCGGGGAGGGAGAGCAACAGCGGAGUGUGUGUGGGGGAACACCACAGUGUGUGUAUUUGUAUUUGUAUUUGUAUUUGUACUUUAUUUAUCCCACAGCAGGGAAAUUCACCUGUUACAGCAGCAAGCAAGAUACGCAAGUAAAGAAUACAUAGUGACUACAACAUGGUUCAGGUGGUGCAGGUGUUGUAGAGCCUGACAGCGGUCGGUAUGAAGGACCUGCGGAACCUCUCCUUCUUACACCGUGGGUGUAACAGUCUGCUGCUGAAGGAGUAACCCGUAUGCUAAGUAUUCCAUGUUACUGUAUGAUGAAUGUACCUGUUACUACACGCUCACAGCAUGGAUAGAAAACCACUAAACCUUGUUGGAGCUUUUUGGACGUGUUUUAGUAGCGGCCUUUCUAGGCGGAGGAGGUGUGUCCCAUUACAUACAUGAAUUACCUGCCGGAUUGUGGGUGAUGGACAAAUUUCCAAAAAAAGUGCACUUUUUUGCUAGAAAACUUGGCUGGAGCAAUUGUGUGAUAUGCCACAGUUGCUAUUUCUUAUACAAGAGAGAAAAGGUUUUAUGAUGGCAAUUUGACAUUCGAAAAGACUGAAGGACCUUGGGAGCUAUGCCAAAGCUUUGGACGUUCCUUUCCUGCUGCCCCUCCCACCCGCCUAUGUUUGGUUUUAUUCAUGGUGACCGCAAAUGUGCUGUAAACACACCCAUUUUUCACAAACCAUGCGUGUCAACUUGAGCGGACACACGCUGGACCAGGUCCACAUCAGGGGUGCUCACUUUUUCAGCCUGCCAACGACUGUACUGUACUAUAUGACCACAUCCCAAAGGUCUACCUCCUACUAUA